CCUUCCAAGGACAUCGUGCACCUUAACUUAUGUAAAAUACGCAAGUCGAGGGUGGCUAUUAUGAAGGAAAAUAAAAAAAUAAAAAAAAAAGAGAAUAAUGACUGAAACAUUCUUGUGGUGAUGAGAAUUAUUUGUGAAAUAAUUGUUGAAGAGAGGGCUGAAAAUAAAGAGAAGAAAUAUGGGUGAUGAAGUCUAAAUUUUAUGAGUUCAAAGUCCUUCAAGUUAGGAGGAUUUAAUUGGUGGAAAAAUGAAGAAAAUUAAAGCUAAAACAAAUUAAAAAUAGAAGGUUGAAGAGGGAAAUCAAGCAGACAGCUUAAUGGAUUAAAGUGAAUAAAAUAAUAUAAGUGCAUAUUGCUGCUGCGAAUUGCAAAACAAUUCACGAAAAAGUUGCAGCCUGCAUUCCCUCAAUGCACUGGUCAAUUCAUUCACGCGACACUACAUGCGAAAAGAAAAGGAAAGAAAACAUUCCAAUUCUUUUUGGUUUUGGAUUCCUAAUUUGUUUGUACUCAAUUAUUUUAUUUAGGGUUUUCUACAUCUAUAAAUAAUGCAUGAAAAAUUAUUAUUGAGGAAGCGAAGAAAGAAGAUACAAGGCAUAAUAUAAACUUUUUCUAGCUUUGGAGCUUUGUAAGAACCUCCGUGGAGGCCGGAGAAUUGUGGUUUAUUCUUUCUUCUCCUUUAUUAUUUAUUUGUAUUCGUGAUUAAUAAAAAUAUAAUUUAGCUAUUA